rnacentral:rRNA from 1 species
UACGUAGGGUGCGAGCGUUAAUCGGAAUUACUGGGCGUAAAGUGUGCGCAGGCGGCGUUGCAAGUCGGGUGUGAAAUCCCCGAGCUUAACUUGGGAAUUGCGCUCGAAACUACGAUGCUAGAGUGUGGCAGAGGAAGGUGGAAUUCCACGUGUAGCGGUGAAAUGCGUAGAGAUGUGGAGGAACACCGAUGGCGAAGGCAGCCUUCUGGGCCAACACUGACGCUCAUGCGCGAAAGCGUGGGGAGCAAACAGG